rnacentral:rRNA from 1 species
AUUGAACGCUGGCGGCAUGCUUUACACAUGCAAGUCGAACGGCAGCGCGGGCUUCGGCCUGGCGGCGAGUGGCGAACGGGUGAGUAAUACAUCGGAACGUGCCCAGUAGUGGGGGAGAGCUCGUCGAAAGCCGGAUUAAUACCGCAUACGACCUGAGGGUGAAAGCGGGGGGUCUUCGGACCUCGCGCUAUUGGAGCGGCCGAUGGCAGAUUAGCUAGUUGGUGGGGUAAAGGCCUACCAAGGCGACGAUCUGUAGCUGGUCUGAGAGGACGACCAGCCACACUGGGACUGAGACACGGCCCAGACUCCUACGGGAGGCAGCAGUGGGGAAUUUUGGACAAAGGGCGAAAGCCUGAUCCAGCAAUGCCGCGUGUGUGAUGAAGGCCUUCGGGUUGUAAAGCACUUUUGGCGGGAACGAAAAGGACUGUGCCAAUACCACGGUUCGAUGACGGUACCCGCAGAAUAAGCACCGGCUAACUACGUG